AUCACUUCUCAGCCUUUUGGCUAAGAUCAAGUGUAGCAUCUGAUUCUGCAUCAAUUCCAAUCUUAUCAUCACUUUCUUGCAUCUACUUUUUUCUUUUUGGUACCAGGGAUCGAACUCAGGACCUUGCGCUUUCGAGGCAGGUGCCGGAACCACUG
ensembl:snRNA U2 U2 spliceosomal RNA